UCCCAUGUAGUCUAGAGGUUAGGAAUCCUGGCUUUCACUCAGGCGGCCCGGGUUCGAUUACCCGCAUGGGAA